ensembl:lncRNA
UGUUCUCACAGAUAUGAAUGAGUAGAUAGGACACGCCCCUUUGAGCUGCGUGCUACAGAGAGGCUAAGCUAGUGGGGGAAAAGUUUCAGUGCAUUCCGUUGAUGUAGACGGCGUAAAAACGGAAACAAGAAGUAUGCCGGCUCACUGUGCUGCAUACAAUUACACACUACGUCGUACGAUUGAGACAAGGAAACCUGGAAUGACUUUUCAUAGGUUUCCCAGAGACUAUGGGUUGAGGAGGAAUUGGAAGUUUGUCGGCUUAGACCUGGUGUCAUUCCAUCAGUGUUAAACUUCCCGGCUCAUCUUGGAAGAGUACGUGCCAGAAAGACCACGACCAAGUAGCCUUGAGAUCUUAGGCAGCGUCUCCCUGAAACCAAAGAACUACAGACUCUUCACAACCUGCUCAAACUCUUGGUACAGGACCUCACCACACGGGUCAAGAAGGUUUCCGUCUCAUUUCUACUCUGAAGAUCACCUUCUCCUGCUCAAACUGCUGACAAAUGUUUCUGCUGCUCUAAAGUCUGGUCUCCCAAACUUCCUAAAAACUCUCAAAGUCUCUUCUGCUGCAGGUUGCUUUGUAGAACUGUUCCAGAAAACCUCACUAAACCACGUGGAGGGGCCUCAAGAUAGUCAUCCAAAUGAAACCGUACAAAAACCAAACUAUCACAACCCAAACGCUAAAGUCUCCUGCAGCCUACCAGAGAACCUCUGAGAACAGAGAAUCAGGACAGGAACUCUUACCUUCUGGACAACCAACCGUGGUUCUCAAACAAGAAUACAGAAUGUGUCUGACCAAAAACCUCUGAAGACUCACUACAGCCAAGAUAAAGACACAACUCAGCUGCACCAAAUCCACUAAUCACUGCACACAUUAGCACCAUGUGCUCACUGUGGCUAAAGAACCACAUUUACCAAGACAACUAUCCAGUACAAAGCCCUAAAACACACCAAGAAACACAUUAAAGAUGAUUUUACUGCUGGAAGCUGCAAGCCAACGCCUAAAGAACAACCUAAAGCAACGGAGCCAAACCCAGUUCAGUGGUGAACAGAAGUAGAGGAAAUGUUUGCCUGCAGCUAAAUAAAGCAGGAAGACACUGAGCUGCCCAGGUGUUCCUGAUAACACCAAGCAGCCACCUGGAC